UACAGAGACCUCAAGCGUUAUCCGGAAUCAUUGGGCGUAAAGCGUACCGAUAGGUGGUUAAGAAAGUCAGAAGUGAAAUCUCAAGGCUCAACUUUGAGACUGUCUUUUGAAACUUCUUAACUAGAGGGGCAAAGAGGAAGCUGGAACGAACGGUGUAGUAGUGAAAUGCGUUGAUAUCGUUCGGAACACCAAUAGCGUAGGCAAGCUUCUGGGUGCCACCUGACACUGCUAGGACGAAAGCGUGGGGAGCGAAUGGG
rnacentral:rRNA from 1 species